rnacentral:rRNA from 1 species
GAUGAACGCUGGCGGCGUGCCUAAUACAUGCAAGUCGUGCGGAAAGGCCACUUCGGUGGUACUCGAGCGGCGGACGGCAGAGUAACGCGUAGGAACAUACCCCCAAACUGAGGGAUAACUGCUCGAAAGAGUAGCUAAUACCGCAUGUGAUCUUCGGAUUAAAGCUUCGGCGGUUUGGGAAUGGCCUGCGUCCGAUUAGCUUGUUGGUGAGGUAAUAGCUCACCAAGGCGACGAUCGGUAGCUGGUCUGAGAGGAUGAUCAGCCUGACUGGAACUGAGAACGGUCCAGACUCCUACGGGAGGCAGCAGUAGGGAAUUUUCCACAAUGGGCGAAAGCCUGAUGGAGCAACGCCGCGUGCAGGAUGAAUGCCUUCGGGUUGUAAACUGCUUUUAUUAGUGAAGAAUAUGACGGUAACUAAUGAAUAAGGGUCGGCUAACUACGUGCCAGCAGCCGCGGU